GGUUUUCUGGAGAAAAUGCCUAAUUUGAAUCUAGUCAUUUAUGUAGCACGGCUCUACUGGCACAAAGAGGAAAACAAUCGUCAGGGUCUGUGGAGCCUGAUGAACAUCGGCGUGUCCAUCCAAGUCAUGGAUCUCUCAGCUGGUUCUUCCUAAGGGUGAUGUGUCUCCAUGGCAGAAGCCCAAUACAUGGCCUUGCUCCCUUGAGCCUGACUGAUCUCUGAGUGGGCUGAGUCCACUGAUGUCUCCUUCAGCUCAUAAGUGAAUAGGUCCAUUUCCCCAGAUUAUGGUGACUGUUGGAGAACAUUUGUCAAUGAUGAGGACAAGUAUGAAGAUGAGUAUUGGCCCAGGCACUUCGCUCCAUGGAUAAUGCUAUAUUCUCUCGAACUCCAGUCCAUACUUCAGGACAUUCCCUCUUGCUUAACGAUUUCAU